rnacentral:rRNA from 1 species
UGGGGAAUUUUGGACAAUGGGCGCAAGCCUGAUCCAGCCAUGCCGCGUGGAUGAUGAAGGCCUUAGGGUUGUAAAAUCCUUUCGUUGGGGACGAUAAUGACGGUACCCAAAGAAGAAGCCCCGGCUAACUUCGUGGCCAGCAGCCGCGGUAAUACGAAGGGGGCUAGCGUUGUUCGGAUUUACUGGGCGUAAAGCGCGUGUAGGCGGGCUUGUAAGUUGGGGGUGAAAUCCCGAGGCUCAACCUCGGAACUGCCUCCAAAACUGCAAGCCUGGACUCAAGUAGAGGCAAGUGGAAUUGCGAGUGUAGAGGUGAAAUUCGUAGAUAUUCGCAGGAACACCAGUGGCGAAGGCGACUUGCUGGACUUGUAGUGACGCUGAGACGCGAAAGCGUGGGGAGCAAACAGGAUUAGAUACCCUAGUAGUCCCUGAGCGGGCUGGCAAGGCGCAU